rnacentral:rRNA from 1 species
ACGCUCGACACCUACGGGAGGCAGCAGUGGGGAAUAUUGCACAAUGGGGGAAACCCUGAUGCAGCGACGCCGCGUGAGCGAAGAAGUAUUUCGGUAUGUAAAGCUCUAUCAGCAGGGAAGAAACUGACGGUACCUGACUAAGAAGCACCGGCUAAAUACGUGUCAGCAGCCGCGGUAAUCUGAGCGGGCUGGCAAGGC